ACUCCUACGGGAGGCAGCAGUGGGGAAUAUUGGACAAUGGGCGCAAGCCUGAUCCAGCCAUGCCGCGUGAGUGAUGAAGGCCCUAGGGUUGUAAAGCUCUUUCACCGGUGAAGAUAAUGACGGUAACCGGAGAAGAAGCCCCGGCUAACUUCGUGCCAGCAGCCGCGGUAAUACGAAGGGGGCUAGCGUUGUUCGGAUUUACUGGGCGUAAAGCGCACGUAGGCGGACUAUUAAGUCAGGGGUGAAAUCCCGGGGCUCAACCCCGGAACUGCCUUUGAUACUGGUAGUCUUGAGUUCGAGAGAGGUGAGUGGAAUUCCGAGUGUAGAGGUGAAAUUCGUAGAUAUUCGGAGGAACACCAGUGGCGAAGGCGGCUCACUGGCUCGAUACUGACGCUGAGGUGCGAAAGCGUGGGGAGCAAACAGGAUUAGAUACCCGAGUAGUCCC
rnacentral:rRNA from 1 species